rnacentral:rRNA from 1 species
GAUGAACGCUGGCGGCGUGCCUAAUACAUGCAAGUCGAGCGGACAGAAGAGGGGCGUUCUCCUCUGACGUUAGCGGCGGACGGGUGAGUAACACUUGGAUAAGCUACCUAUAAGACUCUUAUAACUGCGAGAAACCGGAGCUAAUACCAGAUAAUAUAUUGUACCGCAUUGUUCUAUAGUGAAAGACGGUUGUGCUGUCACUUAUAGAUGGAUCCGCGCCGCAUUAGCUAGUUGGUAAGGGAACGGAUCAGCAAGGCAACGAUCCGUAGCCGACCUGAGAGGGUGAACGGCCACAUUGGAACUGAGCCACGGCCCAAACUCCUACGGGAGGCAGCAGUGGGGAAUCUUCCGCAAUGGGCGAAAGCCUGACGGAGCAAUGCCGCGUGAGUGAAGAAGGCCUUCGGGUUGUAAAACUCGGUCCUUAUCGAAGAGAGAGUGUUGUAGUAAGUGACAAUACUAGGACGGUAGAUGAAGAGGAAGACACGGCUAACUAUGUG